UACGGAGGGUGCGAGCGUUGUCCGGAAUCAUUGGGCGUAAAGGGCGCGUAGGCGGCUUCUCAAGCGUGCGGUGAAAGUCAGGGGCUCAACCCCUGAUCGGCCGUGCGAACUGGGGGGCUGGAGCACUGUAGAGGCAGGCGGAAUUCCGGGUGUAGCGGUGGAAUGCGUAGAGAUCCGGAAGAACACCGGUGGCGAAGGCGGCCUGCUGGGCAGUGGCUGACGCUGAGGCGCGACAGCGUGGGGGAGCAAACAGG
rnacentral:rRNA from 1 species